rnacentral:rRNA from 1 species
GGCUAACUACGUGCCAGCAGCCGCGGUAAUACGUAGGGGCAAGCGUUAUCCGGAAUCACUGGGCGUAAAGGGUGCGUAGGCGGCUUAGCAAGCCAGGGGUGAAAGGCAUUGGCUCAACCAAUAGUAAGCCUUUGGAACUGUUAAGCUUGAGUGCAGGAGAGGUAAGUGGAAUUCCUAGUGUAGAGGUGAAAUUCGUAGAUAUUAGGAGGAACACCAGUGGCGAAGGCGACUUACUGGACUGUAACUGACGCUGAUGCACGAAAGCGUGGGUAGCGAACAGGAUUAGAUACCCUGGUAG